rnacentral:lncRNA from 1 species
UCUUCUUCUGAGGUUGCAUUUUUUCAGAGCUCUCUAAGCCAAGCCAACAUGCAUGACUCUCAUCCACACUGAAAGUGAAACCAAACCAAGUACCAGGUCAGGGUACGUUUUCUUGCACUCUACAUGUUAUGUACUUACGAAGUUGUAGGAAAUGAGAAAUAAAUUUCAUUCUUCAUUUUUUCCAUUUCUAUUUACAUGUUCCUACUUUGGUACUAUGAAUAUGGUGUUAUCUUGUUUAUCAUAGUACGUGCUUUAGAUUUUAAUUUAUGUUCCCCUUCCAUGUUUUAGUUUUUUAACUUUUUUUUUUUUUUAAAGGGCUUACAUGUUUUUUUAGUUGUUUUUAUAUUACAUUAAUCAAUGUUUUAGUACACGUUACGAUGCAUGUUUUAUUUUUUUCCAAAGAUUUUAUUUUAUUUUAUUAUCGUUUUCUAAUAAUUUUGAGACAUGCUACUCAGCUACUGGUAAACACAGGCAAGCUCAUAUGAUUGAGCAAAAUUGGUUUUUACUUGAUUGUUAAGCAAUGUUUUUUGCUGUGUUUUUAUGCUCUCAGCAAUUUUCCAGCUAACAUUUUGUGAUCCCAAUUUGACAUCCCGAAUCUGAAAAUUGAGAUCUUCCAUGGUUUGUUCGUCUGUUAUAUCGUAGUUAUUGAUAGCACAUCACUUGACACUCUAAGCUGUUCCUACUGAUUUGCAACUCAAAACCAGCAACC